rnacentral:rRNA from 1 species
CUUAAUUGGGCGUUAAGUUGCAGGGUAUAGACCCGAAACCCGGUGAUCUAGCCAUGGGCAGGUUGAAGGUUGGGUAACACUAACUGGAGGACCGAACCGACUAAUGUUGAAAAAUUAGCGGAUGACCUGUGGCUGGGGGUGAAAGGCCAAUCAAACCGGGAGAUAGCUGGUUCUCCCCGAAAGCUAUUUAGGUAGCGCCUCGUGAAUUCAUCUCCGGGGGUAGAGCACUGUUUCGGCUAGGGGGCCAUCCCGGCUUACCAACCCGAUGCAAACUGCGAAUACCGGAGAAUGUUAUCACGGGAGACACACGGCGGGUGCUAACGUCCGUCGUGAAGAGGGAAACAACCCAGACCGCCAGCUAAGGUCCCAAAGUCAUGGUUAAGUGGGAAACGAUGUGGGAAGGCCCAGACAGCCAGGAUGUUGGCUUAGAAGCAGCCAUCAUUUAAAGAAAGCGUAAUAGCUCACUGGUCGAGUCGGCCUGCGCGGAAGAUGUAACGGGGCUAAACCAUGCACCGAAGCUGCGGCAGCGAACGUAUCACUUAAAGCGAUUCAGCGGGUUACGAUUGACGGAGCGAAGCGACGUCAAAG